UGACCAAUUAAAAAAAGAAUGUAAAAAAAAGAAAGGCAACAAUUUGAGGGAUGGUCUUUUCUCCUUCAUUUUUAUUAUCCUAGGCCUACUCUUUCUAUUUAGGUUCUUAAUAAUAAUGUCUGGUUAAUUCAACUCAGCUAUGCACAGGCAUGGUAAAGAGCAAAUGAAGGUUGGAGGAAACAAAAAAAUUCAUUCAAAGAGCAGAAUUUAGGUCUUUCCUUUCCUCUGCCUCCCAUCCUCUUCAUGUAAUAGCUAAAAAGUUAAGUAUCUGCCUAACUCACAGGCUAUACCUACCUAGAAAGAAGACAUUCUGCUGUCCAAUUAGAUUUUCUGAAGAUCCUGAUGCUUGCAGGUCCUGAGAGUUUUUCACAAUGUAUACAUAUUUCUCUUGCCUCAUGGCUCCUCACUUAAUGGGUAAUGCCAUAUUGCUUCAGGCUGAGAUUCAGCGCCCUUCAAAGUGCUUCCACUGACCACUCCACACCUGACUCCUUCUCUUAGGUAGAAUUAUUACAAAAAGUGCCCGAGGCUGACCUAACAAGGAGAGAAUUUUACACAGUUCCAAUUCUCUUGAUUCAGUAUUACCUCCUCAGGGAAGACUCCAAGAUGGGACUAGGACACUUUUCCUUCCCAGCUCCCCCUAGCUCUAGGCCAGAGGAAAGGAAGGGUACGUCUCUAUGGCACCAGAUAAACAACAACAACUACUUGAAUUUGGUUGUCAGUGGGGUGUCUUCAUUAAGCCGAAUUCACUGCUUAAUUUCAAUUUCUGUUGCAUAUGCUUCUAACUGUUUGAAUCUACUGUUCCAUGAUGAUCUCAUGGGAAGUAUCACAGGCAAAAGGCCCUUCACUCUGAAUCCUAGUAUUAUGUCUUUAAAAAUCAAAUUAAUUUUAAAUCUAAGUGUAAAGCUGACUCAUUUGUAAGUCAAGAGAUUUUUGGCUUUUGCUUGUGAAAAGUCUCUCAAUAUUGUUAAAAAAAAAACCUGGUAGACUCAGAUAAUUAGCAGUGCAAUCAGCAGAAAUAAAUUAAUCAGGGAAUUUGGCUCAACUAAGUAAUCCCUUGAAGAGAGACAGAUAAAUAGCAUAAGGUUGGGCUGGGAAAAGGGUGAGAGAUUUUUUGAAUCACAUGAGUGAGACUUCUAGGCCAAGUUUAUAGCAAGUCUAAAACCUCCAUUUAAAAAGUUUCUCCUUAGUCUAUGGUAGGGAUAUUCAUAACUUCCCCUCUAAAGGCUAUACUCCAAAGCAUCAAUGAGUUUAAAUGUAGGUCAGCAUUCUUGGGAAGGGGUACAUUAGACUACUUUCAUCUCAACAACAGCAAUUGUUCAGUGAAAAUCUGCUUCCUAUAUUAAUCAUAAGUUCUAUAGGAUUAGCUCUGCAAACAUAAAUUGGACACUAAUUUAUCAACUGAUCACUUGCCCCUGAUCCAAAACAAAUGUUACAAAAACAAAAACAAAAAAAUCUUCCUUUAUCCAUUGAGCUCUGUUCUAGAAUUUAUCUAGUAAAUGAAUGAUAAAAAGGACAUUAAAAGCUUAUUAUCAAUGAAAAGCAUCAUGGUAAAUGCUGAGGAUACAUAUAGGAAAUGAAAGCAGUACCUUCUCUGAAGGAACACAUAUUCUAAUGGAAGAGACCAUAUACAAAGGAGGUUUAAGCUGCAUGUUGGUUCUUAGAGUGCAGUAGAAAAGCAAAUGGCAUUGGAUAUUCUUUAAUGUAAUUUUUAUCAAUAAACUCUAUUGGUUUCUUUCUUAGCUGAGAUUCAGGGAAGUCUGGAAUACUACAGGGAAGUUGGACUCACUACUUUGAACUGUCUACUCUUGGAAACGGGCAAAAGAUUAAGAAACAAGAAGAUUGGAUCGAGAACCCAAAUCAUAGUACUGGUAUCACGGUCUGACAUCAAGAAAAUUGGAAUAUUGAUGUGGCUGUUGAGAUCAUUAGUCACAACCCUGGAGGAAAUUCAUGCUUCUAAGGAGGAAACUAGCAUGGCUGGGAGGGAGGGAAUACCACAAAGAGAAAACAUAGAACCGAACAGGAUUGUUUUGCAAAGCAGGUUUUAUUGAGGGGAGAUACUGACACAAUGGAGGGACUGUCAGAGAAGAUGAAUGCAGGGUAGUCUGAAAGGGUUGGGUUGGAAUUAUGUACCUGACACUGGUGAAGCUGGGUAUUUACAGGGUUCUUACAAGGUUCGGGGUGUAUGGGGUGCUCAGGGAGGGGUAAUAUCUCUGGUAUGGAGGGCUUGUCAUGCCCUACUAGGGCAGCUCUCCAGCCACUGACCCUCACCUGACACCCAGCUCUCACUUGUGGCUCCUAGUAGCUGCUAGCAUGUGGCAGCGGCCACACCCUGGGCAACAGCUUCGACAGGCCGGCUAAACCUUGUGAGGGUAACCACUGGUGAACUAGGGCUUUGCUCACCCAGCAUGUGAAGACUGCUUCGGCGGAACAAGUGGAAGAAACCAACAAGAAGGUUCAACGGCUGAGAUGGCAAUGCAGCAAGGCACUGUGGAGUGCUUAGGGCAUGAUGGAGCACAAAAGACAACACGGCCAUCCAAUGCAGCCGAGGAAGUCUCCAGGUGUAAUGACUUUUCAUGCCAAUGGACCCAGGCUUCCAACGCCAAGAGAGUGGGACUGUCUCUGUGCAUCGACUUUUCCACAUAAAUCUUCAUGCACAGGUGUCUUGGAGCACAAAAACACACAAAGACAAUCGUCAUCCUCAGUUUGAAAGACAACCAACAACAACAAACAAGGUUCAAACAUGAUCAGGCAUUGGAAGUCAAUGAGAAUUUGAAGCUGGUGCUGAUAUGUUGAGGGGAACACCUGGGUGAUGGGCAGCUGGUUGAUAUUCAAAACACCUGGCCUAUCAGAAAAAAAUGAGGCAAGGGAAGGGACUUUGACUAUCACUGCAAGUUUUACUUUGAUAAGGUGACACAGGGGCUUCUGAAUUACCAGAGGGUUUGUUCAUUCUGUGGAUUGGUGAAGAGUCUAUAUUCCUUAGUUUGUGAUGCUGAAGCAUUUGACAAAUACUUGAUGAUGUGAGUUUUCUUUCCUGUCUUUAGUAGCUAUAUCUGCUGAGAAUGGGGGAGCUAUGGCAUUUGUUAGGAUAAUCCACAGGUCACACAUCCCCAAGAAUUGUUCCCUUGGUGAUGGCUGCAGGGGAUUGCUGGUAGAAAGACUGAUGGGCUGGGGUUCUUGAACUUAACUGCCAUUUGAUGGUAGUUAGUUUGUGGUCAGUGUUAGUGGAGAUAGGGAUGGAAAGAGUGACUCCCUAUGAGUGAAGAUUGUUUCCCAUGAUGAUGGCUACAGAAUAGGUAUGGUCCAGAAGCAGAACUAGUAGUCAGGGAGAAGCUGCAAUUUCUGGGGCUCUUAGGCUCCAGGUCCUUGCUUUUCUCCACUGGUGAAUAGGAUGUAGUUAUGGUUGAGGUGGAAUCAGUAGUUUGGCUUCCCGUUAUCAGGAUACUUUGCAGUUUUAGCUAGGAUAAUUUGUCUGUACUGUUGGAGUAAGUCAAUAUAAUAUGCUAGGAAGUAAAUGAUUAAUGAGCUUUAUUUUUAAAAACACAAAUAUAAAACUAGUGGGUAAACCAGUUUCUAAUUAAAUUAAGGAGUUUUUCUUUCUUUUUUUUAAAACAACCUGAAAACAAAGUGUCAAGUUAAUCAAUCAAGGAGACCUUGCCCCUUGGAUGAAAGUAACUCAGGAUAAUUCUUGCCCUUAGUCACACUUAAAAUACAAUGUGUCUUUCUGUAGAGUCUGUCUUUUCUGGGAAAAGGGGUUGCUUCUUACCUUUUCCCUAGUGCUUCUCAGUGAGACCAGGAAGAUGGAAAGGAUAUUUCCCUCUUUUCCUUACACCCCAUCAUCAACAAUUGUGUCUUGAAGCAGAUAUAGCAUCUGGCAGCAUCUGGUAGAAAAGAAUUCAGCUGUGAAGUUGAGGCAAGCUGUUGGCAAAAGAAGAAAGAGACUAGCACCUGGGGCUGGGAACAAGAGCCAAGACCCCAAGGGAGCAGAACCAAAUAGCCUUCUGCUGCUUCCAGGAUAAAUGUUCCAGUCCUUUUGUAGAAAAAGGGCAUAUCUGUGCCCUAUACUGUGAUUUUAGGGAAGCUGGAAGCUGGUUGCUGUGGCAUCUUCAGCCAAACAAUGAAGCAGCAUCCAAAUUUGGUGGCAGCAGUGUGAAAUACGAGUAGACCUGCAGUAUCAGAGGUUCUUUCUUCCUCCCUGGAGCUGAAGAACAAUUGCUAUUGUACAUCUUCUCUCUCCUAAUGGGAAACCAGAAGAACUAGAAUAUCUACUCUUUUCUUCCACCUUCUCAUGCAGAUACAGGUCAUGGAGUAAUCAAUCUCCAUCAAUGAAGGGAGAAUCCAAUCCAAUUAAUUCUUUGAGGGUUUGAAUCUGGCUCCUCCCCACUUGAUUCAGCUUUCCAGUCCAGCAAGCCAUCCUGGUCAUCAGCAAGAGCCUCCUAGAAGUUUUCCCAUUUCUUCUGAUGCAGACUUUGGGGUACCAAGAUUGCUAUCAGGAGAAGCCAAGGGACCAGUUGUUGCUGAGGCGGGCUUUAGAAGAGAUCCUGAGUCUGGGGCUGACACUGAAGCAGUGGAGGAAACAGGGUUUCCCCCUUGGCCUCAAUCAAACCAUAGACCUCUUAUGGGUGAAUGAACAGGACAUUGAAUUCUGGCCUCUGGCUCAGGCUCACUAGUGCAGUCCUAGAGGGUAGCCAUAGAAGAACAGUAUUGAAGGGAACCCACAGCCUUGUUGACCCAGGUAACAACAGGGAGAACCAGCCUUCUUUCACCCUGGCAUUCAAAGCUAUGCACUUCCCUUCCUGCUGCAAGAAGUAUGCAUUGAUCCUGGAUUUUAGAGCUCCUAAAGUCCCUGGCCUUAGGGAGGCCACAGCUUGUUUCAUUGUCUUACCUCUUCUCUACCUGCUUUGCCCCAUCCUAUACAGCCAGCUAUGGAUUUAGAACAUUUACUAGGAAGGGGUCUCUAAUUUUUUAUUCUGAUCAUACAUCACUCUCAAUUUUAAAGAAAGACUUGAGAUAUCUAAAUAUGAAGUAAUAUUUGAUUCUAUGUUCAAAAAAGCAAGCCACUGGAUUUUAUUUGAGUGAUGGUCAGAUUUUAAUUUUAGGAAAAUUCCUUUUAUGAAUAUGUGAAACAAAGAUGGGAUUAAGGAGAGACUUUGAGAUGUAGAGACCAAGUCAUAGAUUAUAAUAGUCUAGGUGAGAGAUAGAUAAGUGUGUGAAAUAGGGGCAUAGAAUAUGAAUAGAGAUAUGAGAUUGAUGAUGGGAUAUGGAGGUAGAAAUUUUAAGAUUUUUCAGCUAAGUAGACAUGUGAAAUGAGGAAGAGUAAUGAAUUAAAAUUACUCUAAGUGGGGUAGCUAGGUGAACAGUGGAUGGAGAGCCUGGGCUAGAAAUUAGAAGUCUUAAGAACAAAUGUGACCUCAAACACUUGUUAGCUGUGUGACCCUGGACAAGUCACUUAACCUCCAUUGCCUAGUCCUUAUUGAUCUUCUGCCUUGGAAUCAAUACAAAGUACUGAUUUUAAGCAGAAGGUAAGGAUUUGAAUAAAAAAUGACAUUGAACUUGUGAAGCUGAGUGAUUAGAUGGUUGUAGUCACAGGGGAUUCAGGCAGAGAGGUGGGUUUUAGGAUGAAAUAAUGUAAUGAGAUCUGCAAUGUGUCACCAUGCAUGCCUACUUGUCUUGUGUGACUCACUCAGCUCCACAGUAAAUGAAAAAAGGUAGGAGCCUGGGCUAUUACUCACUAAUUACUCCCACAGUGCAGAGCCAAUCUUUCAAGAGGCAUCUGCCAGUGCCACUAGGGAUCUAGAGGAAAGGUUGUGGGCAUACUAGGGGUUCAGUGUGAAAUGAUAGAAUAUUUCCAGAGUUGUUUACAUGGCUCCUGAUAAUGAAGGAAGAGUCGCUAUUAAGUUCUAAUUCCCUUGAGAGUUCUACACCUGUCUUAGAGGAGGGAAGACUGAUAAUUUGAACAUCAGAGUAUAAGGCCAGUUGGGGGAUUGUGAGAUCAUUAGAUGAAGUGUGGUUGUGUUGUAAACAACCCCCAGAAAUGAUUUUCUUAAGAAGGGUGAUUCCAUGCUUGAUUGAUCAAACACCCAUUUUGGUUCAGUCCAUUCCCCACUCCCUCCAUUCAGGGGCUCCUAUUGUGAAGACCAAUGACUAAGAACACUGAGGUUAAUUGAUUUUCCAAGAGAAAUAUGGACUAUGUCAGAAGCAAAACUCGAGUAAGACCUGGUCUUAAUUCUGAGGACAGUUAUUUAUCUACUAUGUCAAAGGAAUGUUUUUGUUAGUUGAAGUAUCAUGAAUAUUCUAUCAGAUAUAUAGCCAUUCUAGUUAUUACUCAUAUUUUCUAAGCAGUUUUACAACUUAUAAAAGCUUUUUUCUUCUCAAACAACUUCAUAUAGUGAACUUUAGAUUACUCCACCCUACUUAGUCUAACAAAAACAGGAGUGUCUACAUCCAAACUUAAGGAAAAAGUAUUUAGGAGGAUGGCCUAUGACAGACAUGUGCUAUCAAAUGACAAAUCAGAAACAACUGACAGACCCUGGGCUGUCCUAGGUCAGGCUUAAGCUACCAUUGCUACAUGUGAGAUGCAGGAAAGUGAUGUAAACGUCUAUAUAUUUCACAUCACUUUCUCUCUCCAGUCUCUUUGGCGGCAGAGAGGUAGCUGGCGGCUGCAUGCUGAGUGUUUCAGCAUCUUGGCAUGGCAGCUGCUAUUGCCUAGGUAUAGCAGUGAGUUUUCCUUGAUUUCAUACUGGAGGAAGCUGAGUAGCCUAGUUCAGGUGAGGCAUCUUUCCUGAGCUCUCUCGGAGUUUAGGCUGAUUCUUUCUCCUUUACCUUCCCAAAACUAUCCUCUUAGAAAGCCACUAAUCUUCUUCAGAGACUUUGAGGUGGAGGAUUUUGAACUUACCCUGGCACAGGCCAGGCAGGAGAAAUCCUAUACUUUCCCCCCUCUCUCUUCUCCUUAAUUACUUCUCUCUAUAUUUAUUAAACCACCCAAAUCUCCAAACUGACUUGGGUAUUUUAUUUGGGAUAUUCCCUGGUGACCAAAAUUAAUUUAGAUUAGGUGACAAUCCUAAAAUUAUCCUUACAUAGUGUGUUGUGCAAGCAUUGUUAUCUCUGUUUUACAUAUGAGAAAAAUAAGACAUCCAGAGGUUAAAUGACUUUCUUGCCCAGAGUCACACAACUGAGACAUGUCAGAGUCAACUCUCCAACCUACGUUUUUGGAAAAUCACAUUACCACCUUAAAUCAUAGACAUGAAGCACAAUCAAAUGCCCUUAAUUAAAAAGAAACACCAAAAACUGUUUUGGCUUUUGUUUCUAUUUAGUAUAAACUUCUAGUUAGUAUGUUACCCAUCCUUUCUGGAAAGCAAGAUGGUGUCAAAUGUUAGUAUUUAAAUCUUGUCAGAAUCAGUAUGCAUUUUUCAGAGCUUAUGCUGAAUCACAUAAUGAACUCUAUUUAACAUUCAUUAAUUUUCAGCCUUAUUGCAGCCAUUAGUUUCUGUCAAUUCACAAUGGCAAUAAAUGAUUCUCAGAUAUUUGAUUUUUUCAGGAUCUACAUUUGUCCUAGAAAAUGUAAUGCUUUAUCAUUGCACAUGGCAUUUUGUUGGCUUGUCCAACAACCAACAUUUGGCAGUAGUCAUCUGUGUAAUAUGUCUUCUUUUUCAAAACAGACUGUUCUGUCUCCUGAUCUUUUCAUUGUGAUCCUUCUACCCUGUGGGAACUCAAUAAGUACUUGUUGACUGACAUGUUGAUUAACAUGGCUUAAUUCUUGAAACAUAAUUGAUUUCAUCACUCACUGCUUUUUUUAUUUCUUCAUGGAAGACAGAAAAAUCUCACCUUCACUUUGUUGUCGAAACAUUUUACUUCUCUGGUACUCAGAUAUCCGUGAAGACAGUUCCAGGUUUAAGUCAGUCUGCAUGAAUGACUCUGCAUUUCAAUUCAAGAGGCAAAUAGUAAUAGCCUCUGAUGGAUAAAACACUGGCCUAGGUACUAAAAAUAAAGAUAAAAUUGGAAAUAUUUCCUGAUCUUAGUGAGAUUAUGUUCUACUAGAUAGGGAGAGGAUCAAUACACACAGAAGGGAGAAAAUUCAAUGAAUAUACAAAGUGAUUAAAAAGAAUUUCAAGUGUAGAAUAGUGCAUACCAUAUAUCUCAUCUACCUUUCUGUAAGGAUAUGAUCAACUUCUCAGAAUUCCAACCAACCAAGACUAGAGUUUGCAAAUCAGGUGUAAAAUAGCUAUGGAAAGUAGGGAGAAUUUCAUCAUUGGGAAUUCUCCAUAUGAAUGAAAUUGUAGGUCAAGUUAAAAAACAACUUCCCAUAUUUGUAAAGAGUAUCAUAUACAAGUGGAUAAAGAGUACUCUAGAAAAAAGAAUGUGGGUCUGGAUGCUGGACACUGUGAUUUGAGUCUUUGCUUUGUUCCAUACUAAUCAUUUAGGCAAGCUACAUAAUUUAUAUUUGACUCAGUUUCUUCUGGCCAAUUAGAAGUAAUGAAAGUAAAAUAAAAUGAGAAAAUACAUUUGAAAACCAUUUGGAGUAAAACCAUUAAAAGUAUAGUACAAAUGUAAGGUUUAUUAGCAACAAAGAAACUAACAGCAGGCUAGGAGAAUCACAGCUGAAUUUAAUCGGAGGCUAACAGAACUCCAUGAGGAGGAGAGAAAAUUCUAUCUGAAUUCUGUGAAACACCUUUUCAUUUCCCCUAAAACUCUUUUAUAUUGCUGAGUAUUACCCGAGCAUUCCAGUGGGAGACUACAUUUGGCAAAUGAAACUCCUAGUUAAAAGGAGUUCUCUGUGAGAACAAACUCUCAUUACCCACUAAUACCCUGAGAGCGGGCCCCUGUUUCUAAGUCUCACUAAGUACUACUGCCUUUUCCCAAUUACCAUUUUUAUGGUUUUUACCUACACAGCAGAAGGCUUCAGGUAAUGUAAUUCUGUUCGGUCCACAUGACUCAGAACCAUAAUUGCAAAUAAUCCAGAAAUGUCUAUUAAGUAGCAUGGUACUACUCUGCCUUCCUAGCUCUGAGGGAUAGCUAAAUGGAAAUAUUUAUACAUAUUAAGAACUCUAUCAUCAAAUCUGGGAAUCAAGUAGAAGAUUCAUUGAAAAAAAUGAGUUGGUUAAAAAAAAAAAGUCCAGUUUCUAAUACAGACUAUUGUGUCUUUCUUUUUUGUUGGUUUCUUUUGUUUUCUAACUUUUUAAUUUUUAAAAUUAGAUCUAGAAACAAUUUUUUUGACAAUUGUUAUCUACAAUCUUUUGACUCAGAUUCUUUCCCUUUCUGUCCCUCCUCCUCCUCACAGUAUUUAUUAUUGUCUGAUAUAGGUUAUGCUAGUGCUGUCAUUCAAUACAUAUUUCCACAUUCCUCAUGCCAUGGAAGACAUAUAUCACAUAUAAAAAACUCAUGAAGGAAAUAAAGUGAAAAUGAUAUGCUUUCAUUUGUAAUCAGACUCCAACAUUUUCUUCUUUCACUAUGGAUAGUGUUUUUCAUCAUGAUGUACUACUGUUGCUACUAGGAUAACUGGUUAAGAAGAGGAGGGAAAAGAAGGAACUAAAGAAACCAGCAAAAGUCAACAUUUCAAUUCAAUUCAAUUUAGUUCCAAAGAUAUUUAUAAAGCACUUAUUAUAUAUAAUAUGUUGUAUAUAUACAAUAAAUGUAUAAACCUAUACUAUAUGGAGUCUAUAUAUGUGUGCUUGUGUUUGUGUUUGUAUAUACUAGAUGAUAGAACUAAAGAAGUAUAAAACUUGAUCCUUCCUUAAAAGGAGACAUAAGACAUAUAUGAACUAAUUAAGGAAAGAUACAAGGCAAAAACUUUAUUAUACACCCUUCAUUUCAGAGAAGACCAAUAAUAUCAUGAAGGUGAUGUCUUGACUAGCUCUUGAAAUGGGACUUGAGUGAAGCAGAGUUGCCCAAAUUCGUUGGCCUCACUCUCUUUCCGAGUCAUCAAAACUUGGGGUAACACAAAAGUUGGGAUGAUUGAUGGUCACACAGGAUGCAAUGGAUGAUCUUGACAUCUAUGUCUGACUAAGCUGUAAGGACUCCAUAGUGCUUGAUUCAGUUGUUUUCAUGGCUUGUGGAAUAAAUGCUUUUCAUAAAUCCAUUCUUCCAGGGGAAGUCUUCACAUGCUUAGGGUAGACUUCUUCAUAAGUCACUAAGAGUUUUGAGACUUGUCAGUUAGCCUCAACCUGAAUUAACCUAUCUACUGCAAAAAUAAGACCAUUCUGGGUAAAUAUCUGACUUUAUUGUGGCAGAGAAAUCACAUGGGUAGAGUCUGAAGAUUUCCUUCCUGUUCAAAACCUGAUAUCCUGUCUUGUAAAAUACUCCCUGCUUUUAUAGUUUCC